CCUACGGGUGGCUGCAGUGGGGAAUCUUCCGCAAUGGACGAAAGUCUGACGGAGCGACGCCGCGUGAGUGAUGAAGGCCCUUGGGUCGUAAAGCUCUGUCAUCAGGGACGAACGGUCACGUCAGGAAAUGGGCGUGAAUUGACGGUACCUGAGAAGGAAGCCACGGCUAACUACGUGCCAGCAGCCGCGGUAAUACGUAGGUUGCGAGCGGUAUCCGGAAUUAUUGGGCGUAAAGCGCGCGCUUCUGGAAGUUCGGAGCUUAACUCCGUGAUGGGAUGGAAACUGGGAUUCUUGAGUAUCGGAGAGGAAAGCGGAAUUCCCCGUGUAGCGGUGAAAUGCGUAGAUAUGGGGAGGAACACCAGUGGCGAAGGCGGCUUUCUGGACGAUGUCUGACACUGAGGCGCGAAAGCCAGGGGAGCGAACGGGAUUAGAUACCCUUGUAGUC
rnacentral:rRNA from 1 species